AUUCUCAGGGCGGGGUGAAAAUCCCCACCGGCGGUAAUCGCGAAAGCGUAGCCCGCGGGCGCUCUAUCUAGUUCAAACUUGAGUGAAAACUCAGGUGCGAACGUCUUAACAGUUGUUGGCUGAAGGUGGCUAAUCUCGGUUAACGAGAUAGAGGACAGCAGACUCGGUGUGAUUCCGAGGCCGACAGUUAAAGUCUGGUUAUGAGAAUG
rnacentral:ncRNA from 1 species